GUGUUUGAAGAAUUGCGUAAGAUUGCAUCACGGGAUAAAUAUGCAUUAGGUGCUACUCAAAAUGAAGAUAUGGUUAUUUUUUGUACUGAAAACCUGCGUGAGAACUCUUGCAAGACAAAGGAUCCUGAAGGUGCAAGGUUCCUCCCUGCAUGUCUGAAGUUCAACCUUUGAAAUUCAGGACAAGCCCCCCCUUUGCUGGAAUACCUCUCAGUGUUCUUGGUAGGUUGCCAGUUACCUUAUUGAAGGUGUUUGGGAAGUACAACAUGCACGUUUGAAGAGGAGCCAUGCUGGUGACUGCAGGCUAAGGCCAAAUUAUAAACCUGUUGUGAAAUAAAUGUAAUUCCUAGGAAUAACU